UUAGUUAAGUUUAUUUUAUUUGCCCGAGGACGUGCAAAACACUAAGUGUGGGGAUAUUUGAUAGAGCAUAUAUUUAUAUAUGUUUUUAUAUGAUUUUAUUCCCAUAAUAUUAGUGUUUUGUAAAUAAUCGGGUUAUUACUAAUUGAUUUUAAGUGUUUAGUGGCAGGAAAAUAAAUAUUCCUAAAGUUGGAUUAAAUCAAGCUUAUUUGGGCUUAAUCAGAUGGAAAUUCGGACUUUAUGGAUAGCCUGCGAAUCAAAUCUUGUUUGGGUCGUAACUUGAGUUCUGGACGUCAGAAUUGGGCGAUUCAACAGCCCACGCGAAGAUAU
rnacentral:lncRNA from 1 species